UACGUAGGGGGCUAGCGUUGUCCGGGUAUUUGUUGGGCUAAAGAGCGUGUAGGCGGCCAGGUAGGUCUGGUGUGAAAACUCGGAGGCUUAACCUCGAGAUGUCAUCGGAAACCAUUUGGCUAGAGUCCGGAAGAGGAGAGUGGAAUUCCUGGUGUAGCGGUGAAAUGCGCAGAUAUCAGGAAGGAACACCAAUGGCGAAAGCAGCUCUCUGGGCCUUACCUGACGCUGAGGAGCGAAAGCGUGGGUAGCGAACAGG
rnacentral:rRNA from 1 species